ACAUAUUUUCGUCAUUUUAUUUUUAGGCUUGAGGUAGAGGUAGAGUUGACUGAGACUAAUGGGAUGACGAAGCGUAGGACUUAGCGGCAGAAGUCAAAUCGAAUCAGUAAACGGCGGAAGCUUUUACUUUAUUUUAUAAAUAUUAAAGUAUUUUGGCAUUAGAAUGGUAGCCGAUUGUAAGUGAAUUUGAUGCCAACCAAUAACCAAUGACCACCUUAUAAUGUAUCAUUGGUAAUAUCAUUCUCAUCAACAGUUUUAUUUUUUGCUUGCUGAAAGAGGACAACAGUAGAUUACCACUAAGGUGACCCAAUAUUCGAAAAUAUGUAAGCUUCGUGGAGCUCUUUUUACAAAUAUACGCUUUUUUAGAUUAGAAAAUAUUUGAAAAUGGGUAUUACAUUAAAACAAUAAGUAAAUUUUUGGAAAGACCCAUACGUAAUUGUCGUCGAAAAUAAAGAUUCAACAGAAUUCAGAGAGAUCCAGCUGUUUCUACUAAAUUGUCUUUUUGCAUUUAAGUUUCCAUUACAUUUGUUUCAAACGGUUGAGACAAUUACAAACUGGUGGUUGAAACUAGUGGUUGACACACGAGGACGUGGCCAUCAAUAGGCCUAUUGCCUUCCCAAUAAAAUGGUUAAUAUAUGCAUAUAUAAAAUUUUUAUGUUUCUAGAAUAAU